UACGUAGGGGCAAGCGUUAUCCGGAAUCACUGGGCGUAAAGGGAGCGUAGGCGGUUUGACAAGCCAGAGGUGAAAGGCAAUAGCUUAACUAUUGUAAGCCUUUGGAACUGUCGAACUUGAGUGCAGGAGAGGAAAGUGGAAUUCCUAGUGUAGAGGUGAAAUUCGUAGAUAUCGGGAGGAAUACCGGUGGCGAAGGCGACUUUCUGGACGAAUACUGACGCUGAGGCGCGAAAGCGUGGGGAGCAAACAGGAUUAGAAACCCC
rnacentral:rRNA from 1 species